AAACAUGUCGAAAGAAGCUGGAUGUGUUCCUCGUGUUGAUGGCAUUGGAUCGUGUGGUGACAUUUCGGUUUACCUUAAUUUUAAUUUCGUCAUUUGCUGGCCCUUGCAAAUGAAAAUCCUUUCUUGGAGAAUUUACUUGUCUCUUCGAUAGUUUCAUAUCAAAAUAUUGGAAUAUGAUAUGCGGAUGUCAAUGAUUUUUUACGAUUACAUUUUUGAAACUUUUACAUAUCUGUCUACAAG
rnacentral:lncRNA from 1 species